rfam:Streptomyces bingchenggensis BCW-1, complete genome.
CUUCAGCGACCCCAGCCACAGCGGCUGCCCCUCCGGCCGACCCCGCCCGUACGUCGCCAGCAGCGCCUGAGCCUC